rnacentral:rRNA from 1 species
CCAAUAGCGUAUAUUAAAGUUGUUGCAGUUAAAAAGCUCGUAGUUGAAUUUCGGGAUCAGUUCGCUGGUCGUGCCUCUGGUAUGUACUGGUGUUACUGGUUCCUCCCUUCUGACGAACUGUCAUGUCAUUUAUUUGGUGUGGCAGGGAAUCAGGACUGUUACUUUGAAAAAAUUAGAGUGUUUAAAGCAGGCUCGCGCUUGAAUACAUUAGCAUGGAAUAAUGAAAUAGGACGUUCGAUCCUAUUUUGUUGGUUUCUAGGAUUGACGUAAUGAUUAAUAGGGAUAGUUGGGGGCAUUAGUAUUCAAUUGUCAGAGGUGAAAUUCUUGGAUUUAUUGAAGACUAACUACUGCGAAAGCAUUUGCCAAGGAUGUUUUCAUUAAUCAAGAACGAAAGUUAGGGGAUCGAAGACGAUCAGAUACCGUCGUAGUCUUAACCAUAAACUAUGCCGACUAGGGAUCGGAUGAUGUUAUUUUUAAUGACUCAUUCGGCGCCUUACG